rnacentral:lncRNA from 1 species
UUCCAUACCUUAGCCUUUCUCUCUUAUAGCUUGCUCUCACCUUCCCCUCUUUUCUUUAUCUUCUGUCACUUCUCUCUCUUCUUCUUUCUUCUACCCUUUUCCUCUUUCUUUCUUUGCAUACAACAUUCUUCUUCCUCUUUCUAAUUUUUUGCUCAUAUUUGCUCUGAGAAAAACAAAACAAUUUAAAAAAAAAUCAAAUGGGUCGAGGCAAGAACUGGGCUUCCUAAGUGGUUUCUUGUAAGUUAUUUUUAGUGAUCAAACUGAUAUGUUGGUCUUGUUAGAUGUUUUUCAUACUUUUGUUUGUGUGUUCUGUUAUAUAUGGUUGUGGGAAAUCUUCAAGUUGCCUUUUUUUUAAAAACUGAAUUGUGCUUUCUGGUUGCAUUUACAUGAAUGGCUAAAUAUGUGGUGAAGAUAAAGAACCAAUCUUUUUGCUGCAGUUUGUGGAAAAUCUUCUUAAUUUGCUUGCCUUUUUCACUGAAUUGUAUCUUCUUGUUCUUGCAUUUACACGUAUGGCUUGUAUAUGGUGAACACUGAAAUUCACUAAUCCUCCGCUCAAUCUCAAACCAGGAAAAUGUUGAAAUCUCUGCCAUGUUUGUUCUCACUCAGAUCUUACUAAGGAACUGUUUGUAUAUUAUUGGUUUUGUACCUUUCCACUUGACAUUACAUUUUGCAAUACACUGCUCAAUUUAUAUAGUAAUUUUUGCUAGUUUUCUUCUAAAUCUUGUUUAUUGAAGAUCUGGAUCAG